UCCCUCUCCCAUACCACCCUGAACGCACCUGAUCUCAUCUAAUCUUAGAAGCUAAGCAGGGUUGGGCCUGGUUAGUACUUGGAUGGGAGAUUC
rfam:Otolemur garnettii contig049946, whole genome shotgun sequence.